GGGGUUUCCUGCUGAGUUUCUGAAUGAGAUGAUGCUGCUGCAUGGAGAAAUUAUAUUGAAAGAAGAAAGGGAGACUUGCUUGAGGCUUUCUGAAGAGCAGGUUGUGGCAGCAUGCCUCCUUCAACUGAAAGCAGGUCUUUACUGCCUUCCAUCUGAGGAUCUCAAGCUGACAUCCUGGCACUUAUUAAUUAGAAUCCAUUUUACAAGAGAACAAGCUGAGGAUGAGAAUGGAGAAGCUGCUCUUGGCCCAUCGUAAGUCAGAUGCUGGUGAUGGAGACAGCAAUAAAAAACAAGGACGUGGGUUCUCAGCCGCCUGCUUGGAGUGUGCGGAGAUGCUGAUCAGAAAGGCAGGGGAAAUAAAUUCUGUAGUAAGGUGAAAACAACUCUCAGGUCAAAUAAGAUUUAUUUUGCUCAGAGUUGAAGUCAACGAGGCUCUCUGAGGGAGAAAGGAGGUAACAAAUUUGUGCCAUGAAAAAAAAACCCAAUGUGAAAACCUGCAUGCAGCAUCACCCUGCUGGAUUCAUUACGGCGUGAUGGGCUCUGUAGAUGCGCGAUGCUCUGUUCAUUUAUCUGGUCUCAUACACACUUCUUUCCAUCCUUCAUGUUUAUUUGUAUCUGCUUAUGGGUUUAAUUAAAAGCAAAACAUUUUUAAAGAAA